UCUACUAUGCAAUUGCCCAACCAUGCAGUUUCUACAGGUUUUUCUGUCCUUGCAAAAACAGGGAGGAGAAAGGCAGAUAGCCAGCCCCUUACACAGCUUGAGCAAGAAUUCUUGUUUGCCUUUUUUGACACCACAUUCAUUUUAGAAGGCAAUGAAUGGGCAACACAAAGGCAAAAAUGGGAGUAUUAAAACUGAUCAUUUUUCUCAGCAAAACUGAAAGGUUUCAAUUCCCCAACAUGCAAAUUCUCCAAAAUUCAUCAGUAAACAAUGUUUUUAUACAGCAAGCAUUGCUUAGUAAGAAAGUUACAAGCACACCGUACUCCUGCGACGUCACGUGGUUGCACCGUUGCUUGCUUUGGCCACUGCCAAACUUCCACUUCUUUCGCUUGAAAGGAAGGAAAAAAUCAUGUUUUCACUUUAAAGACUGAGAUACCGAAGCAGUACAGUAUGAGGAGUCUGAAAACAAAUACAGCAAAUAGUUGUUCAGCUUCACAGGUCAGACAGCACUCAGCCUCCCUUCCUCCCAGAAACCCCCAUCAUUCUCAGCACUUCCAAUGCGACGGGUGCCUCUGCCACACCGCUUCCUGCUGCCUACCACAGCAACCAGGGAUUAAGUGGAUGGAAACCCACUAACAUCUCUGAAGGACGAGCAAAAGGGCAGCUACGUGCAACAGUCCCACUCAAGUUCCACACAUCAAUAAAGUCCUCAUUUAAGAAGGUCUGUCAGUGGAUGCCAUACACCUGACACCGCAGUGCUGGCCACACAGCAGAAACCUGCCCAAAGAGUUCAGCAGAAGAUGAUAUCAACAGGAAAUUACCAUCUUCCAAAAGGUUCUCCUUCUGGUCUGGACAGACUGAUGGGUGAUCAUCAACGCGCACGGCCGAUCCCCUCACGCACAGCACUGGGCCAAGGCGGGGAGCACGCGGUUGCGGGGGGAGGCAGGCCCGCCGCCAUAUCUCCCAGCAACCGCUCCCCGCCCCGCCCCUUAGCGGCCAGCCGCCUUACUCGCCUCGCCUCGCCUCGCCCCCGCACCUCCCGGUUCUCAGGCCCCAGCGGCAAGCGCCGACCGCCCCGCGGAGCAUCCUUAGCGAGCACGCACCGCCACCCCACGCGCAGCGGAAACGAGAACGCAGCCCCUCCAGUUCCCAGAGUGCCCCGGGAGGGCCAACCAACGCUCCCGCAAUGGGGGGGAGGGAGGUAUUUCCGUUGCCACUCCUCUU
rnacentral:lncRNA from 1 species